rnacentral:rRNA from 1 species
UACGUAGGGUGCGAGCGUUGUCCGGAAUUAUUGGGCGUAAAGAGCUUGUAGGCGGUUUGUCGCGUCUGCUGUGAAAAUCCGGGGCUCAACCCCGGACUUGCAGUGGUACGGGCAGACUAGAGUGUGGUAGGGGAGAUUGGAAUUCCUGGUGUAGCGGUGGAAAUGCGCAGAAUAGUCAGGAGGGAACACCGAUGGCGAAGGCAGAUCUCUGGGCCGUAACUGACGCUGAGGAGCGAAA